ACGGGACCGCUCACAGAUAGCAGCAUGCACCAGGGAGGCAGACUCAGGUCAGAAAUAACCACGGAGGAGCAGUCAGAGUGGAGUCAGUGUGGAAACAGGACAAGAAGCUCCAAGGGGACAAAGUUAAUUUCUGUAAAUAUGUACUACCAGAACAAAAUGUGACAAGAAAAGCAACAAAGCAGGGCUAGUUUAAAAAAAAAAAGGCCACCAUGGAAUCUGCUGUAUUUUCUUGGGGAUUGGGAGACAGAUGCCCUGUUGGCUGCUCAGGGUCUGCAGGGCUCCCUCCAUCCCGUGUUCAGGGUGUGACUGGCAGGAGUCUCUCAUGAGGCUCACACAUUUAAAUGGAAAGGACCCAUCAGGUUGUGUUUAGCUCAUCUGAGCGCCAAGUCUCAUCUUGUUACACACAACACAGAUGCAAGGUUCUAAUUUAGACUAAGACCCCAGAGGCACUAUUGGGUUUUUUAUUUUUGGCCCUACAUUCUUUGGUCCUACUAGAAUACAGGUUUAUACUUACCUGGAGACAAAGCUGUGGCUUGAAGUUCAGGAGAGCAACCAGCCAGAGACAGAGGAGCACUGGUUGGAGACUGCUUCUCCCUCCUUCCUUCCCUCCAUUCCAAGGACCGGGAGGAAAGUGGGAGAUGCCCAAAGUGGCAGGCCAAGGCCUCUUUUGUCUCCAUCUCUCACUUCGGUGCUUCAGGCUGACAUCUUUUAUGAGUAGGUUGAGCCGGCAGGUCCUCAGAGAGAACCACCAUUGUAGUGUGAAUCUUGAAUUCCGCAGUGGACUCAGUGAAGGUCUACUGCUUCAGACAAUUGCUUGGACAGCGCACCCCACCCUAACUAGAAGGCUGAAUGGCCCCUCACCCCCCCCCCCACCAUCAUUGGUCAGCACCUAGAGACA